GGCCCAUUGGUCAAGUGGUUAAGACACCGCCCUUUCACGGCGGUAACAUGGGUUCAAAUCCCGUACGGGUCA
rnacentral:tRNA from 1 species